CAAGACCAACACCAAGACCAUGAUUAUGGCGUAUUUGGCAGCAUUUUCAGUUCCACUCCACAUCCUUCUUUCGUAGCUUUUGGCUGUCAAAUGUAAGCUUGGAGUCUGCGGGCGAUGACAUUAACAAUCUUUGCAUAUUGGGUUCCAAAUGUAGGUCAGCAAUGUUUGUUACUCGCGGAGGUGUUGCUAAUGGGCCCGAUCGCAGGGCAUAGUGGCAUAUGUUAGCAUCGCCUCCUACUACCUAUUUGGGAUUCCAGCCGGAGUUGUUAUUGGUUAUGUGAUGUAAAUCCAAGCCGAAACCCAGCAACAAGCGACCCUAACUAGUGACUAGAAAACCGAUUAUCCAAUGUUAGGUUUGGCUCACUUAUAUACUGAAACUUGUAACCAUAGACCACCGAGUGUGUGGAAACUGAAACUUGGAACCAUAGACCAUCGGAGUUGUAAAUCCAAGACCAACACCAAGACCAUGAUUAUGGCGUAUUUGGCAGCACUUUCAGUUCCACUCCACAUCCUUCUUUCGUAGCUUUCGACUGUCAAAUGUAAGCUUGGAGUCUGCGGGCGAUGACAUUAACAAUCUUUGCAUAUUGGGUUCCAAAUGUAGGUCAGCAAUGUUUGUUACUUGCGGAGGUAAACAGGGUUCAACCGGUGCUCUCUGGGUGUUUGGAUUGGGAUGUUAAUUGGGUUCAAACUGUUGUCCUCAUUGUGAAUCACUUACUGAACUGACUGGGAUAAACAGGUUAUUAUAGCUUGUAUUUGUGUAAAUAAAUGACUUGUACCAGAGUCCGAAGAGCACAACAAUAACCCACAAAGAUGUUCGACUUCAGAUCAAGAACUUCCUGGAGAGGAAGAGGCGUCCACAGAUGAUGUUGGAUGCAUCUUUCUAUGGUUCAUUCUAAUUCUGUACUUUCUUGCUAUCUCUGUGACCAUCCAAAAUAUCUGCAAUUUCAGCUCAAGAACUUGAUUGUUGGGUGGCUCUCUGCUGCCUCAUUUGUCAUACAUGUGUUUCUGUCAUGGAAUUUCUUGAGAAACUGGAUCUGGGGAUUCCCGGUGGGAUGACUGCAAUGACUAUAUUGAAUCAACUUGGUUGGUUGUAAUUCGAGAGUUUGUGUUUAUAUUUGGUGGCUGGUGCCCCAAGACUUGAGAGACUUGAGAGGUUCACUUUUGCUGCCUUCUCUGAUGUAGCUCCCGAUUUAAAACUCUCAAUAUCAUCAGGUAUCAUGGUUUGAAUAGAAGCAUGGGAUGACGCUGUUCUUGUCCUGCUAGCGGGCAGGAUACCUAAAAAAUGCCACAACUGCCAUUUCCGCUUUCUCUAUUUGCCUUAAUAUCAUAAUCUGGGAAUUCAUGGUAUGCAUCAGUUUCUUGACUCCUUCAAGUAUGAGAAAUAUGACUUGAGUUUCUACUAUAUCUGCAUUUUCCAUAUCCAUUCACGCUAUCUGCAUGCGGGUCUCGAAUGAAUUGGGGAAAGGAGAUGCUAAAGCUACAAAGAUUUUCCAUUAAAGUAGCCCAGGAGAGUUUCUUGCAUUAAUCCAAGAUGCAAUGGUUCCUUGCAUGGGUGGCUGCAGGUGCUGGGAAAAGUUUCAGUCUAAUCCCAGUCAGUACUUGUCAGUGCAAUCCUUGAUACUUGUCAAUCCACUCUUUGAUAAAAUAAGUAGUUUGUAGCAUGUUACAUAAUACAUGAGAUUCAUAUAACCGAACCCAAACUUUUAAAAUAAAAACUCAUACGAUAACGAUAAUGAACAAGGUCUAUGGAUGGGAAUGAUACUAGGAGUUAACUUGCAAUUGCUUGAACUUGGUUAGGAAAGAGCAGGUAAAAGAUACAAGGGAGAAAUCUAAAUCAUGUUAAUCAGACUGAAACCGCAUCUGAUUACAA